GAUGAACGCUAGCUACAGGCUUAACACAUGCAAGUCGAGGUACCGGCGCACGGGUGAGUAACACGUAUCCCACCUGCCCUUUACUCGGGGAUAGCCUUUCGACAGAAAGAUUAAUACCCGAUAUAAAGGAUGGGGAUGCGUUCCAUUAGGUUGUUGGUGAGGUAACGGCCCACCAAGCCUUCGAUGGCUAGGGGUUCUGAGAGGAAGGGCCCCCACAUUGGAACUGAGACACGGUCCAAACUCCGACGGGAGGCAGAAGUGAGGAAUAUUGGGCAAUGGGCGGUAGCCUGAACCAGCCAAGUAGCGUGAAGGAUGAAGGCUUAUGGGUCGUAAACUUCUUUUAUAUAAGAAUAUGUAUUAGAUGAAUAAGGAGCGGCUAACUCCGUGCCAGCAGCCGCGGUAAUAC
rnacentral:rRNA from 1 species